rnacentral:rRNA from 1 species
AGGACGAACGCUGGCGGCGUGCUUAACACAUGCAAGUCGAGCGGAAAGGCCCUUCGGGGUACUCGAGCGGCGAACGGGUGAGUAACACGUGAGUAAUCUGCCCCUAGCUCUGGGAUAGCUCCGGGAAACCGGGAUUAAUACCGGAUACGACCACCUUAGACAUCUUUUGUGGUGGAAAGAAUUUCGGCUAGGGAUGAGCUCGCGGCCUAUCAGCUUGUUGGUGGGGUAACGGCCUACCAAGGCGACGACGGGUAGCCGGCCUGAGAGGGCGACCGGCCACACUGGGACUGAGACACGGCCCAGACUCCUACGGGAGGCAGCAGUGGGGAAUAUUGCGCAAUGGGCGAAAGCCUGACGCAGCGACGCCGCGUGUGGGAUGAAGGCCUUCGGGUUGUAAACCCCUUUCAGCAGGGACGAAGCGAAAGUGACGGUACCUGCAGAAGAAGCGCCGGCUAACUACGUGCCAGCAGCCGC